AUUUUAAACGACUGGCCAUUAGAACUAGUGGAAGGUUGCUGAAGAUGUCACACUGAUAUUAUGUAUCAAGCUGCCGUCUUGAAUUGCGCUACAGUCUGGACCUGAAGACGAUGCUCCAAAAUUUUACCCGUAUCGUACAGGUAUAUUAAACUUGAAAUCCUCUUUGCUGGAGCCUUUAUCUUCACCUGGAGAAGUUGCUGUCACUGACGCUCUUUUGCGGAUGAAUUAGAAUCUCCGGCUUCAUUUUGCUGCCAAAAGGCCGCUGGUCUAGCCUUUGUUGGGAAUUAGGAGCCAAAUCAAUUUCUAGCAGAUUUGUUCACAUUCAAUUUACACAUCUUUUUUGAAUGGUUCAACGAGACAUGUUCCAACCCUGAGAAAACUCCGGACCUGGACAAUAUCAAAAGUUUGGAAUGAUCGAACUCGAAGAUAGGGGAGGAUUAGGCAGAGUCUCAUGGCAAAGAGGUGGGUCGGCAUUUUUAUGGAGG